UCGCAGGAGAGAUGGCAC
rnacentral:miRNA from 1 species